AAUAAAUUAUGACUUCCUCCUAAUAGCUUUCAAUAUUUUCGGUGUCCCUUUAUGCAUUACAUGUGGAUAAAUUUGAAUGUAAAAGGUAUUUGAACUGAAAAGGAAUCCAGCAACCUGUGGGGCAAGACAUUAUUGACAACAUUGAAAAAAUGCGAUUGGAUCUUCUGCAGCUAAUGGAUUUACAAUUCUUUAAGGAAAGUCAUUUGGAAUCAGAACACUAUCGCUAUCCUCCCUAGACUAUUUUUCUUUACAAAAAUUAUUUUUAAAGGAAAACCAAAUAAAAACUAAAUGAAAUUUUCGGCAUAAGAGAAAAGCUUCAUAUACGAGAUGGUCUCCAAGAUGCUUGAUUGGGAAUAUAUCGCAUUGCUUAUACUUAUGACCAGGAACCCAAGGAAGUUGCCCACGGAAUAGUAGACGGAGUGAAAUACACGUGAGUCCUGUUAAGAUAAUAUUAAAAACAGGUAGUUUAUUUAUUUUAGGGGUAAACUGGCAGCUAUUGAUUGCUACGAUGUGGGAAAAUUCUCCUUUAUGUUGGGGGACUUUGAUUCCGCCUCUCGAUGGUUUUUACUUGCAAAGGACAUUUAUGAAAAGGAGCUACGUAACUAUUACAAUAUUUUUGAAGUGACUAUUAAAGAUAUUAAUAUGAUCCUAGCUAAAUCUAAUAUUGCCAUGGGUAAAGUAAACUAACUUCUAAUGGACGACUCCAUGUUUGGUAAAACAGGCAAUAAUCUUGCCCAUCAUUUUUGGCAAAAUCCUUCCAACAAAACUAUAGAAAUGGAGGCCUUGCAGCUUCAUAAAGACUUUAAAAUCCUGUGUAGUAGAUCGAGUAAAAGUUCGAUGGCUGUGUCUUAAAAAAGUUCUUCCCAAUUUCUUACACUAGCACCAUUUCGAAUGGAAGAGCUCUCUUUACAACCUUACCUUGUAAUUUUUCACAAUGUGUUAAGUGAUUUGGAAAUCCAGCAAUUAGAACGUAUGAGCAGGACCCAUAGGAAAAGACCUACAGUUUUUCGAGUACAAACGCAGGAUCGACUUGUUGACUUUAUUCGAACCGGAGAGGGCGCAUGGCUUCUCCCCAAAACGGCAAAGGACACCGAUCGCUUAAUUACAGACAGAAUCGAAAGAAGGAUCGGUGUUUUUACAGGCUUUAAGACAAGCUGGCCUAAGCUUCACCAAUUUCUAAACUACAGGUUUGGAGGUGUCUUCUUGCCCCACUGGGAUUUCUUCAACGCAAAGACAGGUUUCAUGUAUGGAGAACGUUUAGCUACAGUUCUAUUUUUUGCAAGUAUUUUAAAUAAUAAAACUAAUUACAUUCU